rfam:Cupriavidus sp. SK-3 Scaffold264, whole genome shotgun sequence.
CUUGCCCGCGGUGACCAGCAAAUCAUGCUGAAGGCGGUGCAAGAAGCGUACCGGCAAAAUGCCGG